rnacentral:tRNA from 1 species
GGAGAAAUGGCUGAGUGGUUUAAAGCAAUAAAUUGCUAAUUUAUCAUACAAUUAUGUAUCCAGGGUUCGAAUCCCUGUUUCUCUU